rnacentral:rRNA from 1 species
AUUCCAGCUCCAGUAGCGUAUAUUAAAGUCGUUGCAGUUAAAAAGCUCGUAGUUGGAUUUCUGAUAGUAGCGUUGCAUGUUCGCUCCUUUCAUCCUUCUAGAGAACGGUUCUCUCCUUCAUUGGCAGUGGGAUCGCAAUCUAGAUCUUUUACUUUGAAAAAAUUAGAGUGUUUAAAGCAGGCUUGUGCUAUGAAUACAUUAGCAUGGAAUAAUAAUUUAGGACUUUAGUUCUAUUUUGUUGGUUUCUAGAACUGAAGUAAUGAUUGAUAGGGAUAGUUGGGGGUGCUAGUAUUCAGCGGCCAGAGGUGAAAUUCUUGGAUUCGCUGAAGACUAACUUAUGCGAAAGCAUUCACCAAGGAUGUCUUCAUCA